AUUGAACGCUGGCGGCAUGCCUUACACAUGCAAGUCGAACGGCAGCACGGGGCAACCUGGUGGCGAGUGGCGAACGGGUGAGUAAUGCAUCGGAACGUACCUUACAGUCGGGGAUAACGUAGCGAAAGCUACGCUAAUACCGCAUAUUCUGUGAUCAGGACAGCAGGGGCUCGCAAGACCUUGCGCUGCUUGAGCGGACGACGUCAGAUUAGCUAGUGGGUGAGGUAAAGGCUCACCAAGGCGACGAUCUGUAGCGGGUCUGAGAGGAUGAUCCGCCACACUGGAACUGAGAAACGGUCCAGACUCCUACGGGAGGCAGCAGUGGGGAAUUUUGGACAAUGGGGGCAACCCUGAUCCAGCCAUGCCGCGUGAGUGAAGAAGGCCUUCGGGUUGUAAAGCUCUUUCGGCCGGGAAGAAAUCGCACGGGCUAAUACCCUGUGUGGAUGACGGUACCGGAAUAAGAAGCACCGGCUAACUACGUGCCAGCCGCCGCUGUAAUAC
rnacentral:rRNA from 1 species